UACGUAGGGUGCAAGCGUUAAUCGGAAUUACUGGGCGUAAAGCGUGCGCAGGCGGUGCUGUAAGACAGGCGUGAAAUCCCCGGGCUCAACCUGGGAACUGCAUUUGUGACUGCAAGGCUAGAGUACGGCAGAGGGGGAUGGAAUUCCGCGUGUAGCAGUGAAAUGCGUAGAUAUGCGGAGGAACACCAAUGGCGAAGGCAAUCCCCUGGGCCUGUACUGACGCUCAUGCACGAAAGCGUGGGGAGCAAACAGG
rnacentral:rRNA from 1 species